AUUGAGUCCAUGGAGCGAGCUGAGAGCUAGAGAACCUGCUAAGGCCAUCAAACCUAUCGAUCGGAAGUCAGUCCAUCAGAUUUGCUCUGGGCCGGUGGUACUGAGUCUAAGCACUGCGGUGAAGGAGUUAGUAGAAAACAGUCUGGAUGCUGGUGCCACCAAUAUUGAUCUAAAGCUUAAGGACUAUGGAGUGGAUCUCAUUGAAGUUUCAGACAAUGGAUGUGGGGUAGAAGAAGAAAACUUUGAAGGCUUAAAUGCCAAACCUUAGAUUUUAUGAUGACUCCUCAACCGUUUAGAUCUUGGUUAUCUCAGAGGGAUCAUCAGCUUUUUAAGAAAGUUUUGAGAGAAAAGCAAGUGAAGAAAAACAUAGUCAAUGCUCAACAUCACGGGUCUCUCACUGAACACACCACACCUGGUAUUCUCUCACAGCGAUGUCACCAUUUCUACCUGCCACGCAUCGGCGAAGGUUGGGACUCGACUGGUGUUUGAUCACGAUGGGAAAAUCAUCCAGAAAACCCCCUACCCCCACCCCAGAGGGACCACAGUCAGCGUGAAGCAGUUAUUUUCUACACUACCUGUGCACCAUAAGGAAUUUCAAAGGAAUAUUAAGAAGACGUGCCUGUUUCCCCUUCGCCUUCUGCCGUGAUUGUCAGUUUCCUGAGGCCUCCCCAGCCAUGCUUCCUGUACAGCCUGCAGAACUCCUCCAGCCCACCCGAUUCCUCCCCACCUCCUCCACCUCCCCAGGCCCCACUCACCUCCUCCAACUCCUCCGGGGAAACCCAAGCCCUGCCGCUCAUGGAACAGAAGAACUGGAACCGAAGUUUCUGGAACAGGACUAUCUGAGAGCGGUUCUUCCUGGCCCUCGGGUUCAUGCAACGGCGUAACUGGAACCGACGCUUACGGACCAAGGGUAUGCGAGAGCGGUACUUCCUGGCCCUCGGGUUCAUGGAACGGCCUAACUGGAACCGACGCUUACGGAGCAAGGGUAUGCGAGAGCGGUUCUUCCUGGCCCUCGGGUUCAUGGAACGGCCUAACUGGAACCAACGCUUACGGAGCAAGGGUAUGCGAGAGCGGGUCUUCCCAUACAGGAAGUGGAAGAUGUUUUGUUUGGAGUCCUCGUCGUCCUCCUCCAUGUCAUUGGCCAGGUAGCUGAGGAUAGAAAUCAGGUUGCUGCUCAGGGGCACCACCAGGAGAGGCCUCCGGCUGAGGUCAGCUUCCCAGAGAGGAAGGUAAGGGACCGUCCCUAGCUCAGGACUGGCACCCACCCUGCAGAGAGCCACGCCUUCCUCAGGAGGGCUCUGCUGGACAGAGACCUGAUCAAGGGCGUCUCCCACUCCUUCAGGAUGGAGACAAAAACCCAACUGGUGGCCGAGAGUGGUGGCUUACGCCUGGAAUCCCAGCACAUUGGGAGGCCAAAGCAGGAGGAUCACUUGAGGCCAGGAGUUUGAGACGGGCCUGGGCAACAUAGCAAGACCCUCGUCUCUAUUAAAAAUAUAAGAAAUAUGCCAGACGCAGUGGCUCAUGCCUGUAAUCCCAGCACUUUAGAAGGCUGAAGCAGGUGGAUCGCUUGAGACCAGGAGUUGGAGACCAGCCUGGUCAACACGGAGAAACCCCAUCUCUACUAAAAAUACAAAAAUCAGCCUGGUGCCGUGGCACACCCGUUAGGCCUAGCUACUCAGGAGGCUGAAGCAUAAGAAUUGUGUGAACCCAGGAGGCAGAGGCUGCAGUGAGUUGAGAUUGGGCCACUCCAUUCCAGCCUGAGAGGCAGAGCAAGACUCUGUCUCAAUAAACAAACAAACAAACAAACAAACUGUCCAGGUGUGGUGGCACAGCCCUGUAGUCGGAGCUAAUAAAGAAGCUGAGGUGGGAGGAUCGCUUGAGCCCAGGAUAUGGAGGCUGUGGUGAGCUAUGAUCUCACCACUGCACUCUAGCUUGGGGGACAGGGCAAGUCUGUCUCAAAAAAAUAAAAGCAAUUGAAUACAUUGA
ensembl:lncRNA PMS2P4 PMS1 homolog 2, mismatch repair system component pseudogene 4